GCAGAAGUAGCCCAGUGGUAGAGCACUUGCCUAGCAUGCAGGAGGCUCUGGGUUCAAACCCCGGCACUGCA
rnacentral:tRNA from 1 species